AGAAUUCUGGUCCGACCACUGGAAGUUGACAUGACCCCAGGGUGUGAAUUUGAGAGCAGCCCACAACACUGUGCGGGUGGAAGCUAAAAAGAGUUGACCUGAAUGUAGAAGCGUGAUUAACAGAGGUUUGUGAAGAGUUUAAGGGAAUGCUAGUGUCUACUGUUCUGAAACUCUGGCUCAGAGUUGGACCAGAUGAAGAGAGGAGGGGCAGAGCUGCCUCUCUGGCUUUCCACUCCUGCCUUGCAGCAAUGCUUCCUAUCCAACACGAAGGACUAAAUGAAGAAACAUUCCCAGAAGGCUGAAAUGGUGCCCAGUAUUCCAAAUCCAGCUAAUGUAUGAUGCUACUACUAUUUCCAUGAAAAAUCAAGGUGGUUGCAUGUGUAGGUCUAUAUAUGUAAUAAAUCUCAAAAACUAAGUAUAGAAAAAGCAAAAAGAAAAGUUGUGCUAGGAUACAUAGUAAAAUACAAUCUAAGAGAUCGAAUUUAAACCACAAAUAACGUCAUAUGUUGUUGAUGCAAAUACAAAUAUAUGUACCUAUAGAUAUAUAUUACUAAAAUAUUAUGAUAUGCUGCUUGUGUCUCCAUAAAUGUAUGU